AUUGAACGCUGGCGGCAGGCUUAACACAUGCAAGUCGAGCGAGCGGCGGACGGGUGAGUAAUGUCUGGGAAACUGCCUGAUGGAGGGGGAUAACUACUGGAAACGGUAGCUAAUACCGCAUACCAUCAGAUGUGCCCAGAUGGGAUUAGCUAGUAGGUGGGGUAAUGGCUCACCUAGGCGACGAUCCCUAGCUGGUCUGAGAGGAUGACCGGCCACAGUGGAAAUGGGACAGGGUCCAGACUCCUACGGUAGGUAGUAGUGGGGAAUAGUGCACUAUGGGCGCAAGCCAGAUGCAGACAUGCCGCGUGUGUGAAGAAGGCCUUCGGUUUGUAAAGCACUUUCAGCGAGGAGGGGUUACUCGCAGAAGAAGCACCGGCUAACUCCGUGCCAGAGCCGCGGUAAUUC
rnacentral:rRNA from 1 species